GAUGAAGAACUUAGCGAAAUGCGAUAAGUAAUGCGAAUUGCAGAAUUUCCGUGAGUCAUCGAAUCUUUGAACGCACAUUGCGCCCCCUGGCAUUCCGGGGGGCAUGCCUGUCCGAGCGUCAUUGCUGCCCUUCAAGCCCGGCUUGUGUGUUGGGUCGUCGUCCCCCCCGGGGGACGGGCCCGAAAGGCAGCGGCGGCACCGCGUCCGGUCCUCGAGCGUAUGGGGCUUUGUCACCCGCUCGAUUAGGGCCGGCCGGGCGCCAGCCGGCGUCUCCAACCUUCUAUUUUACCAGGUUGACCUCGGAUCAGGUAGGGAUACCCGCUGAACUUAAGCAUAUCAAUAAGCGGAGGA
rnacentral:misc_RNA from 1 species